GACGAACGCUGGCGGCGUGCUUAACACAUGCAAGUCGAGCGGUAAGGCCUUUCGGGGUCCCCGAGCGGCGAACGGGUGAGUAACACGUGGGUGAUCUGCCCUGCACUUCGGGAUAAGCCUGGGAAACUGGGUCUAAUACCGGAUAUGACCUCCUAUCGCAUGGUGGGUGGUGGAAAGAUUUAUCGGUGCAGGAUGGGCCCGCGGCCUAUCAGCUUGUUGGUGGGGUAAUGGCCUACCAAGGCGACGACGGGUAGCCGACCUGAGAGGGUGACCGGCCACACUGGGACUGAGACACGGCCCAGACUCCUACGGGAGGCAGCAGUGGGGAAUAUUGCACAAUGGGCGAAAGCCUGAUGCAGCGACGCCGCGUGAGGGAUGACGGCCUUCGGGUUGUAAACCUCUUUCAGCAGGGACGAAGCGCAAGUGACGGUACCUGCAGAAGAAGCACCGGCUAACUACGUG
rnacentral:rRNA from 1 species